rnacentral:rRNA from 1 species
AGUGAACGCUGGCGGUAGGCCUAACACAUGCAAGUCGAACGGCAGCACAGUAAGAGCUUGCUCUUACGGGUGGCGAGUGGCGGACGGGUGAGGAAUACAUCGGAAUCUACUUUUUCGUGGGGGAUAACGUAGGGAAACUUACGCUAAUACCGCAUACGACCUACGGGUGAAAGCAGGGGAUCUUCGGACCUUGCGCGAUUGAAUGAGCCGAUGUCGGAUUAGCUAGUUGGCGGGGUAAGGCCCACCAAGGCGACGAUCCGUAGCUGGUAUGAGAGGAUGAUCAGCCACACUGGAACUGAGACACGGUCCAGACUCCUACGGGAGGCAGCAGUGGGGAAUAUUGGACAAUGGGCGCAAGCCUGAUCCAGCCAUACCGCGUGGGUGAAGAAGGCCUUCGGGUUGUAAAGCCCUUUUGUUGGGAAAGAAAAGCAGCAGGUUAAUACCCCGCUGUUCUGACGGUACCCAAAGAAUAAGCACCGGCUAACUUCGUG